UACAGAGGUCCCAAGCGUUACUGAGAAUCACUGGGUUUAAAGCGCGCGUAGGCGGCCCUGUAAGUCCGUUGUGAAAGUCAAAGGCUCAACCUUUGAAAGCCGAUGGAUACUGCAGGGCUAGAGUCCGGAAGAGGCGAGUGGAAUUCCUGGUGUAGCGGUGGAAUGCGCAGAUAUCAGGAGGAACACCAAUAGCGAAGGCAGCUCGCUGGGACGGUACUGACGCUAAGGCGCGAAAGCGUGGGGAGCGAACAGG
rnacentral:rRNA from 1 species